rnacentral:misc_RNA from 1 species
CAUUUAUUAUUACUCAGCACCAUAAUCUAGACUAUACAAGUAUAGCCACUGGCUAAAGAUGAUAUAAACCAAGAAAGUGAAGAAUAAAUAAAUGCCAGAUAAUUCAAAACAAUCCCACAUAUUUUCUAUGCUUUAUAACAAUAUUUUUUGGCCUCAUCAACCCUUGAACAGUUAGGUAUAAAGCUUCACUGGAAGGUUGAAAAAAGGGAGGGAG